rnacentral:rRNA from 1 species
AGGGUUCGAUUCUGGCUCAGGAUGAACGCUAGCUACAGGCUUAACACAUGCAAGUCGCGGGGCAGCAUGUUGGUUGCUUGCAACCAAUGAUGGCGACCGGCGCACGGGUGAGUAACGCGUAUCCAACCUUCCCCUUAGUAGGGCAUAGCCCGGCGAAAGUCGGAUUAAUACCCUAUGUUGUUUGAUGCGGACAUCUAAAUCAAACCAAAGAUUCAUCGCUAAGGGAUGGGGAUGCGUCCGAUUAGCUUGCCGGCGGGGUAACGGCCCACCGGGGCUUCGAUCGGUAGGGGUUCUGAGAGGAAGGUCCCCCCACACUGGAACUGAGACACGGUCCAGACUCCUACGGGAGGCAGCAGUGAGGAAUAUUGGUCAAUGGGCGUAAGCCUGAACCAGCCAAGUAGCCGUGCAGGAAGACGGCCCUAUGGGUUGUAAACUGCUUUUGCACGGGAAUAAAGUUCGGCACGCGUGCCGUUUUGCAUGUACCGUGAGAAUAAGGACCGGCUAAUUCCGUGCCAGCCGCCGC